UAUGGUACCGACCUACCUCCAACCCACUAAAGGAAGGGACUGGAGCGGCGGAUCGGUGAGGUGGUGCUCGAAGAGCGGGGGUCGCCGCAUGUUCUGCAGGAGGAGGAGCUACGUCGGCAAGGGUUGCUCGAGAGAAACGGCUUUCUCCACGUCUUCGUUCAUGUCGUGGGGGAACCGGGGAUGUAGGACAGGAUGUAGCGGACGUGCUCGAGUGACUAC
rnacentral:rRNA from 1 species